UGGUGUAAAAACUAGUUCCACCUUCUUCCUGUUGUCAAGCCCGGCUCGUGAGAGCUUGACAAAAAGGAAGCGGGACAACGAGGGAUGCCAAUUAAAGUAUAAUUUAUUAAGAAAAGGUGACCAAAGUAAAUAAACGGAGCUUAACAGUGUAACCUA